rnacentral:rRNA from 1 species
GACGAACGCUGGCGGCGUGCUUAACACAUGCAAGUCGAACGGAAAGGCCCCUUUGGGGGUACUCGAGUGGCGAACGGGUGAGUAACACGUGAGUAACCUGCCCUUGACUUCGGGAUAACUUCAGGAAACUGGGGCUAAUACCGGAUAGGAAUCCUUGCUGCAUGGUGGGGGUUGGAAAGCUUCGGCGGUUUUGGAUGGACUCGCGGCUUAUCAGCUUGUUGGUGGGGUAGUGGCUUACCAAGGCUUUGACGGGUAGCCGGCCUGAGAGGGCGACCGGCCACAUUGGGACUGAGAUACGGCCCAGACUCCUGCGGGAGGCAGCAGUGGGGAAUAUUGCACAAUGGGCGGAAGCCUGAUGCAGCAACGCCGCGUGCGGGAUGACGGCCUUCGGGUUGUAAACCGCUUUCAGCAGGGGCGAAGCUUUUGUGACGGUACCUGCAGAAGAAGCACCGGCUAACUACGUG